rnacentral:rRNA from 1 species
AUUGAACGCUGGCGGCAGGCCUAACACAUGCAAGUCGAACGAUUGGCGGACGGGUGAGUAAUGUCUGGGAAACUGCCUGAUGUCGGGGGAUAACUACUGGAAACGGUCGCUAAUACCGCAUACCAUCAGAUGUGCCCAGAUGGGCUUGGCUUGUUGGGGGGGUAACGGCUCACCAAGGCGACGAUCCCUAGCUGGUCUGAGAGGAUGACAAGCCACACGGGAACUGAGAAACGGUCCAGACGCCUACGGGAGGAAGCAGUGGGGAAUAUUGGACAAUGGGCGCAAGCCUGAUGCAGCGAUGCCGCGUGGAUGAAGAAGGCCUGCGGGUUGUAAAGUACUUUCAGCGGGGAGGCGGUACCCGCAGAAGAAGCACCGGCUAACUCCGUGCCAGCAGCCGCGGUAAUAC